CAACCCCAGCUCAGGUGAGAACACCCGCUAAGUUUAAGCAUAUAAUUAAGUGGAGGAAAAGAAACUUACAAGGAUUCCCCUAGUAACGACGGGCGAACCGGGAAGAGCCCAACAUGAAAAUCGAGUGGCAGCGUCACUUGAAUUGUAGUCUGUAGAAGCAUCCUUAGCGACGGACCGGGCCCAAGUCCCCUAGAAGGGGGUGCUUGAGAGGGUGAUAGCCCCAUCGGGCUGGGACCCUGCUGCACCACGAGGCAUUUUCGACGAGUCAGGUUGUUUGGGAAUGCAGCCCUAAUCGGGUGGUAAAUUCUGUCCAAGGCUAAAUACAGGCAAGAGACCAAUAGAGAACAAGUACCAUGAGGGAAAGAUGAAAAGGACUUUGAAAAGAGAGUUAAAGAGUGCUUGAAAUUACUGGGAGGGAAGCGGAUGGAGGCCGACGAUGCGUCUCGGUCGGAUGCAAAACUGCUCAAGUUGGUUCGCCGCUUGACAUGAGGUGCGAAACAGCACAGGCCAUUGCAUCGGCACAAGCACGGGUGGAGUACUGCCUAUUGGUUUUUCGUUGUGGCGGUCGAGGAACAAAGCGUGUGCCCUUGGGGCGGGCCACUAUGCACUUGCACGCUCGUGGUGUUGGUUGGCGGGCUUUCCAUUUGACC
rnacentral:ncRNA from 1 species